rnacentral:misc_RNA from 1 species
UCGUCAUGGUGGUGGUGAUGGUGAUGGUGAUCAUCAUGGGGCUCAUGGGACUCAUGGGCAUGAUGAUGAUCGUCGUCAUCGUCAUCAUCAUCA